UCNGAUGUCCCUACUAACUUGAUGGCGAUU
rnacentral:piRNA from 1 species